UACGUAGGGCGCAAGCGUUGUCCGGAAUUAUUGGGCGUAAAGAGCUCGUAGGCGGUUUGUCGCGUCUGCUGUGAAAACUCGAGGCUCAACCUCGAGACGCCGGUGGAAACCAUCAGGCUAGAGUCCGGAAGAGGAGAGUGGAAUUCCUGGUGUAGCGGUGAAAUGCGCAGAUAUCAGGAAGAACACCCGUGGCUAAGGCGGCUCUCUAGUACGGUACUGACGCUGAGACGCGAAAGCGUGGGGAGCGAACAGG
rnacentral:rRNA from 1 species